GAUGAACGCUGUCUACAGGCUUAACACAUGCAAGUCGAGGGGAAACGCCGGGGAAGCUUGCUUCCCCGGGCGUCGACCGGCGCACGGGUGAGUAACGCGUAUCCAACCUGCCUCUGACUGAGGGAUAACCCGUCGAAAGUCGGCCUAAUACCUCAUGGCAUCGUCUGCGGGCAUCCAACGACGAUUAAAGAUUUCAUCGGUCAGGGAUGGGGAUGCGUCUGAUUAGCUUGUUGGCGGGGUAACGGCCCACCAAGGCUACGAUCAGUAGGGGUUCUGAGAGGAAGGUCCCCCACAUUGGAACUGAGACACGGUCCAAACUCCUACGGGAGGCAGCAGUGAGGAAUAUUGGUCAAUGGGCGGGAGCCUGAACCAGCCAAGUAGCGUGCAGGAUGACGGCCCUAUGGGUUGUAAACUGCUUUUAUGCGGGGAUAAAGUGAGGGACGUGUCCUUCAUUGCAGGUACCGCAUGAAUAAGAACCGGCUAAUUCCGUG
rnacentral:rRNA from 1 species